rnacentral:rRNA from 1 species
GCUCAGGAUGAACGCUGGCGGCGUGCCUAAUACAUGCAAGUCGAACGAGUUCUCGUUGAUGAUCGGUGCUUGCACCGAGAUUCAACAUGGAACGAGUGGCGGACGGGUGAGUAACACGUGGGUAACCUGCCCUUAAGUGGGGGAUAACAUUUGGAAACAGAUGCUAAUACCGCAUAGAUCCAAGAACCGCAUGGUUCUUGGCUGAAAGAUGGCGUAAGCUAUCGCUUUUGGAUGGACCCGCGGCGUAUUAGCUAGUUGGUGAGGUAAUGGCUCACCAAGGCGAUGAUACGUAGCCGAACUGAGAGGUUGAUCGGCCACAUUGGGACUGAGACACGGCCCAAACUCCUACGGGAGGCAGCAGUAGGGAAUCUUCCACAAUGGACGCAAGUCUGAUGGAGCAACGCCGCGUGAGUGAAGAAGGCUUUCGGGUCGUAAAACUCUGUUGUUGGAGAAGAAUGGUCGGCAGAGUAACUGUUGUCGGCGUGACGGUAUCCAACCAGAAAGCCACGGCUAACUACGUGCCAGCAGCCGCGGUAAUACGUAGGUGGCAAGCGUUAUCCGGAUUUAUUGGGCGUAAAGCGAGCGCAGGCGGUUUUUUAAGUCUGAUGUGAAAGCCCUCGGCUUAACCGAGGAAGCGCAUCGGAAACUGGGAAACUUGAGUGCAGAAGAGGACAGUGGAACUCCAUGUGUAGCGGUGAAAUGCGUAGAUAUAUGGAAGAACACCAGUGGCGAAGGCGGCUGUCUGGUCUGUAACUGACGC